CCAACCCAAUGUGAACGUUACCAAACUGUUGCCUCGGCGGGAUCUCUGCCCCGGGUGCGUCGCAGCCCCGGACCAAGGCGCCCGCCGGAGGACCAACCUAAAACUCUUAUUGUAUACCCCCUCGCGGGUUUUUUUUAUAAUCUGAGCCUUCUCGGCGCCUCUCGUAGGCGUUUCGAAAAUGAAUCAAAACUUUCAACAACGGAUCUCUUGGUUCUGGCAUCGAUGAAGAACGCAGCGAAAUGCGAUAAGUAAUGUGAAUUGCAGAAUUCAGUGAAUCAUCGAAUCUUUGAACGCACAUUGCGCCCGCCAGUAUUCUGGCGGGCAUGCCUGUCCGAGCGUCAUUUCAACCCUCGAACCCCUCCGGGGGGUCGGCGUUGGGGAUCGGCCCUCCCUUAGCGGGUGGCCGUCUCCGAAAUACAGUGGCGGUCUCGCCGCAGCCUCUCCUGCGCAGUAGUUUGCACACUCGCAUCGGGAGCGCGGCGCGUCCACAGCCGUUAAACACCCAACUUCUGAAAUGUUGACCUCGGAUCAGGUAGGAAUACCCGCUGAACUUAAGCAUAUC
rnacentral:rRNA from 1 species